rnacentral:rRNA from 2 species
UUAAAUUGAAGAGUUUGAUCAUGGCUCAGAUUGAACGCUGGCGGCAGGCCUAACACAUGCAAGUCGAACGGUAACAGGAAGCAGCUUGCUGCUUCGCUGACGAGUGGCGGACGGGUGAGUAAUGUCUGGGAAACUGCCUGAUGGAGGGGGAUAACUACUGGAAACGGUAGCUAAUACCGCAUAAUGUCGCAAGACCAAAGAGGGGGACCUUCGGGCCUCUUGCCAUCGGAUGUGCCCAGAUGGGAUUAGCUUGUUGGUGGGGUAACGGCUCACCAAGGCGACGAUCCCUAGCUGGUCUGAGAGGAUGACCAGCCACACUGGAACUGAGACACGGUCCAGACUCCUACGGGAGGCAGCAGUGGGGAAUAUUGCACAAUGGGCGCAAGCCUGAUGCAGCCAUGCCGCGUGUAUGAAGAAGGCCUUCGGGUUGUAAAGUACUUUCAGCGGGGAGGAAGGGAGUAAAGUUAAUACCUUUGCUCAUUGACGUUACCCGCAGAAGAAGCACCGGCUAACUCCGUGCCAGCAGCCGCGGUAAUACGGAGGGUGCAAGCGUUAAUCGGAAUUACUGGGCGUAAAGCGCACGCAGGCGGUUUGUUAAGUCAGAUGUGAAAUCCCCGGGCUCAACCUGGGAACUGCAUCUGAUACUGGCAAGCUUGAGUCUCGUAGAGGGGGGUAGAAUUCCAGGUGUAGCGGUGAAAUGCGUAGAGAUCUGGAGGAAUACCGGUGGCGAAGGCGGCCCCCUGGACGAAGACUGACGCUCAGGUGCGAAAGCGUGGGGAGCAAACAGGAUUAGAUACCCUGGUAGUCCACGCCGUAAACGAUGUCGACUUGGAGGUUGUGCCCUUGAGGCGUGGCUUCCGGAGCUAACGCGUUAAGUCGACCGCCUGGGGAGUACGGCCGCAAGGUUAAAACUCAAAUGAAUUGACGGGGGCCCGCACAAGCGGUGGAGCAUGUGGUUUAAUUCGAUGCAACGCGAAGAACCUUACCUGGUCUUGACAUCCACAGAACUUUCCAGAGAUGGAUUGGUGCCUUCGGGAACUGUGAGACAGGUGCUGCAUGGCUGUCGUCAGCUCGUGUUGUGAAAUGUUGGGUUAAGUCCCGCAACGAGCGCAACCCUUAUCCUUUGUUGCCAGCGGUCCGGCCGGGAACUCAAAGGAGACUGCCAGUGAUAAACUGGAGGAAGGUGGGGAUGACGUCAAGUCAUCAUGGCCCUUACGACCAGGGCUACACACGUGCUACAAUGGCGCAUACAAAGAGAAGCGACCUCGCGAGAGCAAGCGGACCUCAUAAAGUGCGUCGUAGUCCGGAUUGGAGUCUGCAACUCGACUCCAUGAAGUCGGAAUCGCUAGUAAUCGUGGAUCAGAAUGCCACGGUGAAUACGUUCCCGGGCCUUGUACACACCGCCCGUCACACCAUGGGAGUGGGUUGCAAAAGAAGUAGGUAGCUUAACCUUCGGGAGGGCGCUUACCACUUUGUGAUUCAUGACUGGGGUGAAGUCGUAACAAGGUAACCGUAGGGGAACCUGCGGUUGGAUCACCUCCUUA